GACGAACGCUGGCGGCGUGCCUAAUACAUGCAAGUCGAACGCUGAAGGAGGAGCUUGCUUCUCUGGAUGAGUUGCGAACGGGUGAGUAACGCGUAGGUAACCUGCCUGGUAGCGGGGGAUAACUAUUGGAAACGAUAGCUAAUACCGCAUAAGAGUAGAUGUUGCAUGACAUUUGCUUAAAAGGUGCAAUUGCAUCACUACCAGAUGGACCUGCGUUGUAUUAGCUAGUUGGUGGGGUAACGGCUCACCAAGGCGACGAUACAUAGCCGACCUGAGAGGGUGAUCGGCCACACUGGGACUGAGACACGGCCCAGACUCCUACGGGAGGCAGCAGUAGGGAAGCUUCGGCAAUGGACGGAAGUCUGAACGAGCAACGCCGCGUGAGUGAAGAAGGUUUUCGGAUCGUAAAGCUCUGUUGUAAGAGAAGAACGAGUGUGAGAGUGGAAAGUUCACACUGUGACGGUAUCUUACCAGAAAGGGACGGCUAACUACGUG
rnacentral:rRNA from 1 species